rnacentral:rRNA from 1 species
UGGGGAAUAUUGGACAAUGGACCAAGAGUCUGAUCCAGCAAUUCUGUGUGCACGAUGACGUUUUUCGGAAUGUAAAGUGCUUUCAGUUGGGAAGAAAAAAAUGACGGUACCAACAGAAGAAGUGACGACUAAAUACGUGCCAGCAGCCGCGGUAAUACGUAUGUCACGAGCGUUAUCCGGAUUUAUUGGGCGUAAAGCGCGUCUAGGUGGUUAUGUAAGUCUGAUGUGAAAAUGCAGGGCUCAACUCUGUAUUGCGUUGGAAACUGUGUAACUAGAGUACUGGAGAGGUAAGCGGAACUACAAGUGUAGAGGUGAAAUUCGUAGAUAUUUGUAGGAAUGCCGAUGGGGAAGCCAGCUUACUGGACAGAUACUGACGCUGAAGCGCGAAAGCGUGGGUAGCAAACAGGAUUAGAUACCCUGGUAGUCCACGCCGUAAACGAUGAUUACUAGGUGUUGGGGGUCGAACCUCAGCGCCCAAGCAAACGCGAUAAGUAAUCCGCCUGGGGAGUACGUACGCAAGUAUG